GGGCCAUUAGCUCAGUUGGUAGAGCACCUGACUUUUAAUCAGGGUGUCGCUAAUGGCCCA
rnacentral:tRNA from 1 species